GCCUAGCCCUGACUGCAGCGAAAAACGCAUGCCGGUAGCCAGCCGCUUUUUUCUGGUGGUUGCAGAGCGACUGCAAGAAGCUCCUGCAAGCGCCUAGAAAAAUCGUUGGCUACUAAAUGCUUUGUAGCGUAGGGCAGGAGUAGCU
rnacentral:sRNA from 1 species